rnacentral:lncRNA from 1 species
UGGUCCUGCGGUUCUGGAACCAAAUUUUGACCUGUGUCUCCGUGAGGCUGAGCGACAGAGCCAGGUUCAGGCGCUCGCACACCGACAGGUAGCGCGUGGCUCGGAACUUGUUCUCUAGGGCCACCAGCUGCUCUAGUGUUAAUAGAGUUUCAGAUUUGUCCGGGGCCUGAUCGAUAGAUGUCAUCUAUUAAAGGGCAGCGAGACGCACCGGCGGGAGAGCAGCUCGCGUGAAUUUUUGCGGAUCCAAAAUGUCCAAGACAGAGAAUGAGAUCUUGUGGUGAGCGGGGGCCGCCUUGGCCCCGCCGUCCUGCCAUGCCAACAUGCCCGCCUCCCGCGGGCCCGAGGCCAGCCGCACUGGGGUCGGGGAUGGGUGCUCUCAGCCUUAUCUUCUGCAGUGGUUUGGCCACAGCUCUCCAGCCGCGAACUGGAAUU